GAUGAAGAACGUAGCAAAAUGCGAUACUUGUUGUGAAUUGCAGAAUCCCGUGAACCAUCGAGUUUUUGAACGCAAGUUGCGCCCGAAGCCUUUUGGCCGAGGGCACGUCUGCCUGGGCGUCACGCAUCGCGUCGCCCCCCACAAUUCUCCGUAAAGGGAACAUGUGUUUUGGGGGCGGAUAUUGGUCUCCCGUGCUCAUGGCGUGGUUGGCCGAAAUAGGAGUCCUUUCGAUGGACGCACGAACUAGUGGUGGUCGUAAAAACCCUCGUCUUUUGUUUCGUGCUGUUGCUCGCAAGGUAAACUCUUUAAAAACCCCAAUGUGUCGUCUCUUGACGACGCUUCGACCGCGACCCCAGGUCAGGCGGGACUACCCGCUGAGUUUAAGCAUAUCAAUAAGCGGAGGA
rnacentral:misc_RNA from 1 species